UACAGAGGUCUCAAGCGUUGUUCGGAUUCAUUGGGCGUAAAGGGUGCGUAGGUGGCGGGGUAAGUCAGGUGUGAAAACUCGAGGCUCAACCUCGAAACUGCACUUGAUACUGCCUUGCUCGAGUACUGGAGAGGAGAUUGGAAUUUACGGUGUAGCAGUGAAAUGCGUAGAUAUCGUAAGGAAGACCAGUGGCGAAGGCGAAUCUCUGGACAGUUACUGACACUGAGGCACGAAGGCCAGGGGAGCAAACGGG
rnacentral:rRNA from 1 species